GGGGAUAUAGCUCAGUAGUCCAGUGCCUGCCUGGCAAGCAUGAGGCCCUGAGUUCAAGUCUCAGUACCA
rnacentral:tRNA from 1 species